UACGUAGGGGGCAAGCGUUAUCCGGAUUUACUGGGUGUAAAGGGAGCGCAGACGGCAUGGCAAGCCCGGAGUGAAAGCCCAUGGCCCAACCAUGGGACUGCUCUGGGAACUGCCAGGCUAGAGUGCAGGAGGGGUAAGUGGAAUUCCUGGUGUAGCGGUGAAAUGCGCAGAUAUCAGGAGGAACACCAGUGGCGGAGGCGGCUUACUGGACUGCAACUGACGUUGAGGCUCGAAAGCGUGGGGAGCAAACAGG
rnacentral:rRNA from 1 species